GGGGUCCCUAUGGGUCCCUAUGGGGCUGUAUGGGUCCCUAUGGGGUCUCUAUGGGGUGUUUAUGGACCCCCACAGCCCCCCGAGGAUGACGGACAUAAGAGCCCCCCCGACCUGGACCGCAUUGCCGCCUCCAUGUUGGCCCUGACGUUGUCCCUGCGACGCUCACAGGGAGCUCAGCCCUUCGGGGACAGACCCCGACCACGAUGAGACCCCCCCCCUAAUUAAUAACCCCCC